GAAGAUGAGGUUGCUUGAGAUUGAAGAGAGAGUGAGAAGGCAGUCGCUGAGGCAUCAGAAAGCAGGUGUCAAAAAAUGGCCACCAUCGUUUCCUAAACAAAAAAGCUGCACUCUACAGCGGUGAAGAAAAAUAGGAAACUACUAAAAAAGGUAAAUUUUCUCUUUCCUAAAUAAAUAAAAACAUUUUAUUACAUAUUUUAAAUUUUAUUUUCAUAAAUUAAAUGUAAAGUCUUUGUUAGUCAAACCAAAAUGAGUUUGUUCACGAACCUGUUU
rnacentral:lncRNA from 1 species